GACGAACGCUGGCGGCGUGCUUAACACAUGCAAGUCGAACGGAAAGGCCCUGCUGUUGUGGGGUGCUCGAGUGGCGAACGGGUGAGUAACACGUGAGUAACCUGCCCUUGACUUUGGGAUAACUUCAGGAAACUGGGGCUAAUACCGGAUAGGAGCUCCUGCCGCAUGGUGGGGGUUGGAAAGUUUCGGCGGUUGGGGAUGGACUCGCGGCUUAUCAGCUUGUUGGUGGGGUAGUGGCUUACCAAGGCUUUGACGGGUAGCCGGCCUGGGAGGGUGACCGGCCACAUUGGGACUGCGAUACGGCCCAGACUCCUACGGGAGGCAGCAGUGGGGAAUAUUGCACAAUGGGCGGAAGCCUGAUGCAGCAACGCCGCGUGCGGGAUGCCGGCCUUCGGGUUGUAAACCGCUUUCGCCUGUGACGAAGCGUGAGUGACGGUAAUGGGUAAAGAAGCACCGGCUAACUACGUG
rnacentral:rRNA from 1 species